CCUACGGGGGGCAGCAGUGGGGAAUAUUGCACAAUGGGGGAAACCCUGAUGCAGCGACGCCGCGUGAGCGAAGAAGUAUUUCGGUAUGUAAAGCUCUAUCAGCAGGGAAGAAAAAUGACGGUACCUGAGUAAGAAGCACCGGCUAAAUACGUGCCAGCAGCCGCGGUAAUACGUAUGGUGCAAGCGUUAUCCGGAUUUACUGGGUGUAAAGGGAGCGCAGGCGGUGCGGCAAGUCUGAUGUGAAAGCCCGGGGCUCAACCCCGGGACUGCAUUGGAAACUACCGAACUAGAGUGUCGGAGAGGUAAGUGGAAUUCCUAGUGUAGCGGUGAAAUGCGUAGAUAUUAGGAGGAACACCAGUGGCGAAGGCGGCUUACUGGACGAUAACUGACGCUGAGGCUCGAAAGCGUGGGGAGCAAACAGGAUUAGAUACC
rnacentral:rRNA from 1 species